rnacentral:sRNA from 1 species
GCCAGGUGUGGUGGCACACACCUGUAAUCCCAGUGGCUCUGGAGGCUGAGGUAGGAGGAUUGCAAGUUCAAAGCCAGCCUCAGCAAAAUCGAGGUGCUAAACAACUCAGUGAGACCCUAUCUCUA